GCCCCCGUAGCUCAGCUGGAUAGAGCAACGGCCUCCGGAGCCGUGUGUCGGACGUUCGAAUCGUCUCGGGGGUA
rfam:Candidatus Entotheonella sp. TSY2 genomic scaffold TSY2_scaffold00222, whole genome shotgun sequence.